AUUGAACGCUGGCGGCAGGCUUAACACAUGCAAGUCGAGCGGAGAGAGGUAGCUUGCUACUGAUCUUAGCGGCGGACGGGUGAGUAAUGCUUAGGAAUCUGCCUAUUAGUGGGGGACAACAUUUCGAAAGGAAUGCUAAUACCGCGUACGUCCUACGGGAGAAAGCAGGGGAUCUUCGGACCUUGCGCUAAUAGAUGAGCCUAAGUCGGAUUAGCUAGUUGGUGGGGUAAAGGCCUACCAAGGCGACGAUCUGUAGCGGGUCUGAGAGGAUGAUCCGCCACACUGGGACUGAGACACGGCCCAGACUCCUACGGGAGGCAGCAGUGGGGAAUAUUGGACAAUGGGCGCAAGCCUGAUCCAGCCAUGCCGCGUGUGUGAAGAAGGCCUUAUGGUUGUAAAGCACUUUAAGCGAGGAGGAGGCUACUUUAGUUAAUACCUAGAGAUAGUGGACGUUACUCGCAGAAUAAGCACCGGCUAACUCUGUGCCAGCAGCCGCAGUAAGAC
rnacentral:rRNA from 1 species